AAGAAGAGGAGGGGGAAGAGAUUGUAAAUACUCUUGUAAUAAAAGGGGGUUUGGUAAUGUAAGACGACAGGCUUUAUAUCGGCAAAGUCGCACGCGUACAGCGAGCAGCCGGUCGGGCAUCCUCCGAGGAGACACAAUGGGGGUGGAAAGAUGGGCUUCGCGCUCGGGAGCCGCCACAAAAGCAACGGAUGGGAAAAGGGGAGAGAAGACGGGAGACAUAGUGGCUCUUGUGACUGAAGAGAAGACGGGAGGAAGGAGCGAGCGACCCCGGCGUUGGUGGAGGGAGCUUGGAGUGGCGCUUCAUGCGAGAGCCCGGAGAUUCGCUCACUGACCGAAGAGGACGCGCACUUAAUACGGGGGGUGGUGGUGGUGGUGGUGGUGGUGUGGAGAGAGGCAGGCCAGGAGGAUGAGGAGGGGGGACUGGGGGUGAUGGUAGAGAGACAGAGAGAAAGACAAGGAGAGAGAAAGUCGCCGGAGGAGUGGCGGAGGAGGUUCAACGUCAAGGGGGAAAUGCAUGACCAGUGUCGUCUUAAUUUCUAUGCAGAGCUUCAAAUCCCUGUCACAUCCAGUCUUGCGCUUUGGCAGUGGAAUUUCAUGUGCACGCACGCACGCACGCACGCACACUCUCGCACACAUAGAGACACGCGCGCAUCGUCAAUUUUCAGCCAUCCUAAAAGAUUCGCAAAAACGGGGCCAGUCUGGAUUUUACAGCGAACUAUUAUCACGUCGCUGGAUGUGCGCACACGUCGCUGCGUCUGCCCGGUGGUAUUAGAUGAAAUCAAGCGGGAUUACGCAGCCACAGAACAAAUUACCCCCCCACCCCAACCCCCGCCCACCCACCCACACACACACACACACACGAUGCGAGAUCGAAGUUCAGGACAUUUAUACACGUAUGCAGUGAAUGUUAUUUAUCAUUUUAUCUCUUUUUUUGACAGAAUUUAAAUUCACUUCAUCGCAAAACGGACAAAGUGAAAGUGCCGCUCGUUAUCUCACACCAGGGCCACACAACAUCAGAUGGUGCAACCCAACUCUUCCUAUCAAGUCCCAGGCUAGCCUCCAUCACCACUAUCCAUCUGCCUCUAAUGCACGGGCACGUUUAUGGCCGCCGUUAGUUAAGUCGUUGUUAAUUUUACACUAACUGGUUGU